rfam:TPA: Bos taurus chromosome 20, whole genome shotgun sequence.
UCCUUGUUGGCUCAGACGGUAAAGAAUCUGCCUGCAAUGCAGGAGACCCGGGUUUGAUCCCUGGAUUGGGAA